AGUGAACGCUGGCGGUAGGCCUAACACAUGCAAGUCGAACGGCAGCACAGUAAGAGCUUGCUCUUACGGGUGGCGAGUGGCGGACGGGUGAGGAAUAAAUCGGAAUCUACUUUUUCGUGGGGGAUAACGUAGGGAAACUUACGCUAAUACCGCAUACGACCUACGGGUGAAAGCAGGGGAUCUUCGGACCUUGCGCGAUUGAAUGAGCCGAUGUCGGAUUAGCUAGUUGGCGGGGUAAAGGCCCACCAAGGCGACGAUCCGUAGCUGGUCUGAGAGGAUGAUCAGCCACACUGGAACUGAGACACGGUCCAGACUCCUACGGGAGGCAGCAGUGGGGAAUAUUGGACAAUGGGCGCAAGCCUGAUCCAGCCAUACCGCGUGGGUGAAGAGGGCCUUCGGGUUGUAAAGCCCUUUUGUUGGGAAAGAAAAGCAGCAGGUUAAUACCCCGCUGUUCUGACGGUACCCAAAGAAUAAGCACCGGCUAACUUCGUG
rnacentral:rRNA from 1 species